GAGUUUGAUCCUGGCUCAGAUUGAACGCUGGCGGCAUGCCUUACACAUGCAAGUCGAACGGCAGCAUGAUCUAGCUUGCUAGAUUGAUGGCGAGUGGCGAACGGGUGAGUAAUACAUCGGAACGUGCCCUGUAGUGGGGAUAACUAGUCGAAAGAUUAGCUAAUACCGCAUACGACCUGAGGGUGAAAGUGGGGGACCGCAAGGCCUCAUGCUAUAGGAGCGGCCGAUGUCUGAUUAGCUAGUUGGUGGGGUAAAGGCCCACCAAGGCGACGAUCAGUAGCUGGUCUGAGAGGACGAUCAGCCACACUGGGACUGAGACACGGCCCAGACUCCUACGGGAGGCAGCAGUGGGGAAUUUUGGACAAUGGGCGAAAGCCUGAUCCAGCAAUGCCGCGUGUGUGAAGAAGGCCUCGG
rnacentral:rRNA from 1 species